UACGGAGGGUGCUAGCGUUGUUCGGAAUGACUGGGCGUAAAGCGCGCGUAGGUGGUUUGGUAAGUUGGAAGUGAAAUCCCGGGGCUUAACCUCGGAAUGGCUUUCAAAACUGCCUUACUAGAGUAUGGUAGAGGAUAGUGGAAUUCCUAGUGUAGAGGUGAAAUUCGUAGAUAUUAGGAGGAACACCGGAGGCGAAGGCGGCUAUCUGGGCCAUUACUGACGCUGAGGCGCGAAAGCGUGGGGAGCAAACAGG
rnacentral:rRNA from 1 species